GGGCUAUUAGCUCAGGUGGUUAGAGCGCACCCCUGAUAAGGAUAAGGGUGAGGUCCCUGGUUCAAGUCCAGGAUAGCCCA
rnacentral:tRNA from 1 species